AGGACCCAUGGAAGGCCACAUGGUGCUUUGUGACACCCUUAGAAACGCCUCUCCUUUUCUCCUCUAGGACUGGCCUCCCCUGCCCUCGGACCUCACUCAUCAGGAUGGUGACCCCGUCUCCAGACACCCUGCUCCUCCCCCACGCGGCUGGGACCCCACCCAGUCCACACCCAGGCCUCCCCUGGCCCCCAGCCCCCCACACCUGGCCUGCCGUUCUUACCACCCCUUCUCCUGCUGUGUGCAUCUGCGCAGUCUUUCCUGACCAGGAGCUGUUUGGCGCCCCAGCUGCGCCCCCAGCCCUCCCCCCCGCCUCCUCCUAAAGGCUGUCUCACCUCCACUUCUGCCUCACCUUUGCCCUCUUUCUUGGGGGGCUCUCCUAGCUGGGGGGCUCACUGAGCACCUGCAGAGGGAAUGAGGAGGCCCUGGAGGGCCAAGCGCACCCCUGACCCUGGCCGUGCAGAGGCCCCUGUGGCUUCCAAGCCAGAAGGGAGGUUUCACCUAGAAAAGAGGAAAGAGCUGAGGACCGAGGCAGACCCAGGGACGGCGAGGCCCCCACGGGGCUGUUCCAGCGGACGUCGGCGUGUGUGGCCCUCCUGACUUGCGGCUGUCCGCUUGGGGCUCUGCCCCCCGUGGCACAGCCGCGUGCGGACGCGGUUCCUACGACAGCUCCGUGCUGCAGCCCCUUCUGCCUCCUGCCCCCAGGGCCCCGGCCUGUACACUCUGACCCAGGAGCCCCUGGCUCCCGAGAAUGGGUCCUUUCUGGCGACUCCUUGCUGGGGACACCGGCCAGCAAUCCAUCCCCUCCUAACAGAGGCAGAAGCCCUGUGGACCCAGGCCGGCGGCAGCGGUGGGGCCAGAAGGCUGUCAGGUGCGGCUUGCUCCAGGUGCCCCGGCCUCCACCCCACACGUCAGGCUCGGAAUCACAUCAGUUCCCCAGUUACAGGGGCUCUGGAGCCCCUCUGCCUCGCUGACUCUGUGGCCAGCAGCCCUCCGGCAGCUUGCUGCCUGGUUGCCUCACGGGGUCUGGAGUGGUCCUGGGGUCCUGCGGAAGGACAAGCUCCAUCUGGCCGCCCCGUUUGCCGGCCAUGAACGGGUUCAGUCAUACAGAGGGAAAAGCUGGGUGGGGACCCUGCUAAAAGGAGAGCAGGAAGUGCAAAGUGAGGGCGGGGCCGCCAGGGGCCUGAUGCUGGCGCAGGGACAGCUUCCUCGUCUGCAGCCUCUGCUUCUAGUCAGAACAGUCAC
rnacentral:lncRNA from 1 species